CUUACUAAAUAAAGUACAUAGCUUUCAAAAGCCGACCUUUUACACCUAACUCCAUCUCCGAGAAAAAACUUUACCCGGCGGCGGCCACCGGGAAUCGGCGACUCGCCGGCGGAAUCGGAGGAUCGCUCCGACGAGGUAUAGUUGAGAAAGCUUUUAAAAAAUGAAGGUUUUUGUGAAAACUUUGAAAGGAACUAACUUUGAGAUCGACGUUAAACCUGAAGACACGGUGGAGGAUGUCAAAAAUAAUAUAGAGAUAGCACAGGGUGCAGAUGUUUACCCUGCUUCACAACAGAUGCUAAUUCAUCAAGGGAAAGUUCUUAAGGAUGGUACAACACUUGAGGAAAAUAAAGUUGCUGAAAAUAGUUUUAUUGUCAUUAUGUUAAGCAAGAGAAAGGUUUCACCAAGUGGAGGAUCAACUGCCUCAUCCGCACCUCCAAGCCAAGCCCAACCUGCAAGCACUUUGCCUCCUAGUGCAACACAACCAUCAACAACCGCUCAAGCUCCUGCUGUAACUGCAGAACUACCACAAUCUGCUGCUGAAUCUACACCUGUAGUUAAUCCUGUUUCCAGUUCAGAAACAGAUAUUUAUGGACAAGCAGCAUCAAAUCUUGUUGCAGGAAGUAAUUUAGAGGCUACUGUUCAACAGAUACUUGACAUGGGAGGAGGAAGUUGGGACCGUGAAACUGUUGCGCGUGCUCUACGUGCUGCAUUUAAUAACCCUGAAAGGGCUGUUGAAUAUCUUUACUCUGGCAUUCCUGAGCAACCUGAAGUCCAACCACUUCCUCGAGCUCCAAGUAGUGGACAGGCUGCAAUUCCAUCUGCCACGGCUCAAGAACCAGCAGCACCUACCAGUGGUGGGCCAAAUGCAAACCCUUUAGAUCUGUUUCCACAGGGCCUCCCCACUAUCGGUUCCACCACUAGUGCAGGCACCUUGGAUUUUUUGCGCAAUAGUCAACAGUUCCAAGCUCUGCGAGCCAUGGUUCAAGCAAACCCCCAAAUCCUACAGCCUAUGCUUCAGGAACUCGGGAAGCAAAAUCCACAUCUUAUGCGGCUCAUUCAAGAGCAUCAGGCUGAUUUCUUACGCUUGAUAAAUGAACCUGUUGAAGGAGACGGGAACCUACUUGGCCAGUUGGCCUCAGCAGUUCCACAGUCUGUUUCUGUCACCCCUGAGGAGCGUGAGGCAAUUGAGCGUCUUGAAGCAAUGGGCUUUGAUCGAGCCAUAGUAUUGGAGGUAUUCUUUGCAUGCAACAAGAACGAAGAACUGGCGGCUAACUAUCUACUAGAUCAUAUGCAUGAUUUUGAGGAAUGAAUUCUAUUUACUGAAAUUUGGAUACACCAGUACACUACUGAAGGAUGCCGUCACAUUCUCUACUAUGUGGUCACAGAUUAUUUUCUAUUCUCCUGUAAAAUUUUCCAAGAUGGUUAAGCAUUAGGAAAUGUAAUAAUUAUUCCCAGCUGGCUCUUUCAGUUAAUUACUGGUGUAAGGUGGGGUCCUGGUUGAUACGGAGGAACAAAUUCUGAUGAUUUUAGAGUGUUAAUUUGAACAUGGCCGGCCUUGCCCUUUUUCUUUCGUCAAAAUGUGGGCCUGAUUGUGGUCACUGAUCACUUUCCUUUGCCUGGAGUUUACCAUUGAAAUGACUGCAGUUCCUUGAGGCAGUGGUCAUGACUCGUGACUUUGCUUACUUGUUCUUGCAGGAUUUCUACAUAUGUCCCCCUCGAGUUUUUCCUACUUUUUUUGGGGGUUCAAUGCAAAUUCUUCUUUUAUAUAAUUCUUAGUAAGCACAGUUAAGAUGCAUCAUAUCUUUUCCUCAAUAGUAAUUAUCUAUUAUAUUUCAUACAUCAAGUAAAGUGACUCGAGUGGAAUAGGAAAAAAACAUGUUUCUUCUAAAAUAUGGUUUAGAAGUUCUA